AUUGAACGCUGGCGGCAGGCCUAACACAUGCAAGUCGAGCGGAUGAAGGGAGCUUGCUCCUGGAUUCAGCGGCGGACGGGUGAGUAAUGCCUAGGAAUCUGCCUGGUAGUGGGGGAUAACGUCCGGAAACGGGCGCUAAUACCGCAUACGUCCUGAGGGAGAAAGUGGGGGAUCUUCGGACCUCACGCUAUCAGAUGAGCCUAGGUCGGAUUAGCUAGUUGGUGGGGUAAAGGCCUACCAAGGCGACGAUCCGUAACUGGUCUGAGAGGAUGAUCAGUCACACUGGAACUGAGACACGGUCCAGACUCCUACGGGAGGCAGCAGUGGGGAAUAUUGGACAAUGGGCGAAAGCCUGAUCCAGCCAUGCCGCGUGUGUGAAGAAGGUCCUCGGAUUGUAAAGCACUUUAAGUUGGGAGGAAGGGCAGUAAGUUAAUACCUUGCUGUUUUGACGUUACCAACAGAAUAAGCACCGACUAACUUCGUG
rnacentral:rRNA from 1 species